rnacentral:rRNA from 1 species
CCUACGGGAGGCAGCAGUGGGGAAUUUUCCGCAAUGGGCGAAAGCCUGACGGAGCAAUACCGCGUGAGGGAUGACGGCCUAUGGGUUGUAAACCUCUUUUUUCAGGGAGGAAUCAAUGACGUGUACCUGAAGAAUAAGCAUCGGCUAACUCCGUGCCAGCAGCCGCGGUAAGACGGAGGAUGCAAGUGUUAUCCGGAAUCACUGGGCGUAAAGCGUCUGUAGGUGGUCAAAUAAGUCAACUGUUAAAUCUUGAAGCUCAACUUCAAAAUCGCAGUCGAAACUAUUAGACUAGAGUAUAGUAGGGGUAAAGGGAAUUUCCAGUGGAGCGGUGAAAUGCGUAGAUAUUGGAAAGAACACCGAUGGCGAAGGCACUUUACUGGGCUAUUACUAACACUCAGAGACGAAAGCUAGGGUAGCAAAUGGGAUUAGAUACCCUUGUAGUC